rnacentral:lncRNA from 1 species
CUGCAGUUGGCCAAUCAACACAGGACAGGAAAACAGAAAACACCCAUCUUCCAAGAAGCCAAAAGACACCGAACAUGUAGAUGCCUAAAGAAGAGAGGAUAGCUAUCCAGAAAGAACCAUCAAAUAAAGAAGACUCUGAUGUACUCAUGUGAACAAAAAAAUUCCUAGCAGUAAUCUUUGAACUCUCUGGAAAGAAGAUGGGGUCCCAUUUCAUCGAUUCCACUUGAUUCAACUUGAUGUCUUUGAACUUGCAAACACCACCCUAAAACUGGUUUGGGGCUAUACUGCCCUAGACAACUCCAGAGUAGCUAGCUGAUAUGGUGCACCUUCUUAUUACACCCUGGCCAGAGCUUCAGACUUUUGUUGCCCUGCAGGAUCCCAUGGAGUCAUCAUCCCAUUUCAACAGGAAGUAAUCCUAAGAAAACAACGCCUCCUUUCCCUACUGUUGGCAUUAAGGAACAAUCCUGACUGGCAACAUGCUUUUCACCAGCCAAACCACGUGUGUCCAGAUCUUAGAGGAAAAUGAAAUAAUGCCUCUAGGUUUGGAGGAACUGCUCGAUUAGCCUAGACUUCUCUAUCAAAUAGUGGUGAAAAUAAAAUGAAGGCAGGUACGAAAGAAUUUCCCUGGGAUGCUCACCAGCUUCUUAGGAAGUACCUUGGGGAUACAUGCUGUAGCAAAACUCUGGAAGUGCUCCCUGAAAGAGGAAGGUGCAGAGCACAGGAGACGCGAUCUCAUUCGGGGGAUGAGUAGUAGUUGUCUGGCCCGAGAUGACUCUGUCAGUGAUCCCAGCACCUGGAAAGCAACUGGUGGACAAAGGCACGGAAGAGGAGCCGUUAGCCUAAAUCUCCUUUUGUACCCCAGAUUCGUGUUCACUAUGACUUUUGUUUUGUUUUUAAGAUUUACUUUUGUUAUUU